rnacentral:lncRNA from 1 species
UUUUAAUACUGAGUUCUCCCUCGGGCUCUGCAGGGAAAAUCAGUGAUGAACUGUGAGCCAUGGGACACGCAUGGCGUGUGCAUGGCCUCACAGCUGAGUCGCUGUCUGCACCGCAUGAUUUAAGCUUUACUAGAAUCUGAAGAGAUGGAGCUCCCGUGACUCCCUGGGCGUGGAGACUGUUUCAAGAAGAUGAACUGUUGACUAACAGAGCAAGAAGAAAGAUAAGAGGAGAAGACAGCGAGGAGGAAGACUGAGCAGAGACGACAGGAUCCAAGACCACGCAUGCUGCCCAUGGGACAGAUGUGGAUUCAGCAGAGCCACGGAGUUUCCAGAAGGCCGCUGCGUAACUGCCAACCAAGCAAGGAAUGAAAGGUGGGAAGAGCACCACAACUUCGAGAUCCUUCCUCCGAGUGAACUACUCUAUUCCCAUUGGUUUAAAGACUCUGAGCGAGGCAGUCCCACUGUUGUGAGGACAAGGCUUAAAAACCGCCC